rnacentral:rRNA from 1 species
UGACGAACGCUGGCGGCGUKYYUAWYAYUAWGMAGAGKCGRRCKSYWACAKGRAMKUSGAGGUMCGCUGACKAGUSGCUGMAYGGCCAGUGAGUUAACGCGUGGAGUUACCUACCCAUCAGUGAGGAACAACCUGGAGGAAAUCCAGGCUAAUACCGCAUACGACCUUCGGGUGAAAGAGGGGGAUCUUCGGACCUCUCGCUGAUGGAUGGUUCCGCGUCCGAUUAGUUAGUKGGUAAGGUAAUGGCUUACCAAGACGAUGAUCGGUAGCUGGUUUGAGAGGAUGAUCAGCCACACUGGAACUGAGACACGGUCCAGACUCCUACGGGAGGCAGCAGUGGGGAAUUUUGCACAAUGGGCGCAAGCCUGAUGCAGCGACGCCGCGUGCGGGAAGAAGGCCUUCGGGUUGUAAACCGCUUUCAACAGGGAAGAAGGAAUGAGGGUCAAUACCCCUCUGCCUUGACGGUACCUGUAGAAGAAGCCCCGGCUAAUUUCGUGCCAGCAGCCGCGGUAAUACGAAAGGGGCAAGCGUUGUUCGGAUUUACUGGGCGUAAAGAGAUCGUAGGUGGCUUGUUAAGUCGGAUGUGAAAAUCCCGGGGCUCAACCCCGGAACUGCAUUCGAUACUGGCAGGCUUGAGUUCGGGAGGGGGAAAGCGGAAAUUCCGUGUGUAGCAGUGAAAUGCGUAGAUAUACGGAGGAAACACCUUGAGGCGAAGGCGGCUUCCUGGACCGAUACUGACACUGAGGAUCGAAAGCGUGGGUAGCAAACAGGAUUAGAUACCCUGGUAGUCCACGCCCYWAACGAUGUCUACUAGCCGUUGCCGGGUAUCGAACCCCUGCAGUGGGCGCAGCUWACGCAAUAAGKAGACCGCCUGGGGAGUACGGCCGCAAGCUGACUA